GUGCUUCUACACGUUAAUUUGGGUAUCUGGCAUGUCUACCGACCCAAAAACUCUGGAAAAAAACAACUCCCGCGAUUUGUUAUGGUUCUUGUACGUCAGAAACGUCAUGCUUGAGUGCCAGCGAAUGAGCUUCCUUAACAGUGUCCUGUCACAAUGAUUUGGGCGUCUCUCUUACAUGGCCUUGGCCCGCCCCCUCUACACUCACUUAUAGAUAGGAUCUUUGCCAAAGAAUUUCACUUCAUUUUUGAAAACCUCGGAUACCUCUGUGGUCGGCUGCACAAGUCAGCACAGAUCUGUACAUAAUGUCCCAGCCUCAGAAGAGACAAGAGUGAAUUCAUAUUUAAUGGUAAUGUUCCGGAAAGAAUUGGCAAAAGUCUGUUGGUGUGCGCAAGCCAUUUUGAAUUGGACUGUUUUACCAAUUUGGGCCAAUAUAACGCUGGACUGGCAACAAGAUUGACCUUGCAAGCGGGAUCGGUACCAUCUAUUCGUCGCAGUACAGACGAGGCAAUUGAAAGCACAUCUAGGGUACGUCAUGUCGCCUGCCAAACGGAUUCACCAAAGAUGUGCACAGUUGGCACGCAGCUUUCUGUGAAAACACUGCAACCUCACUACAAAAGUACAGGCACACAGAAAACUGUGCCCUGCACUGAUGUUGGUGUUGGAACCUCAGCUGUGGCCUUCAAAGCAUCACAGCCAUUCCUAACGUCGACACCAGUAAAGAGGCCAAGUAAGAGACCUCGCUUGGAGGAGGAAGAGGACAACCCUUUUGAGGGAAGUUCAAGUAUGGAUUUCGGAGAACCAC